UUGAAUUGAAGAGUUUGAUCAUGGCUCAGAUUGAACGCUGGCGGCAGGCUUAACACAUGCAAGUCGAAC
rnacentral:rRNA from 3 species